GCUUUCGUAGUGUAGAGGUCAGCACGCUGGGCGCGUAUUCCAGAGGUCCGUGGUUCGAGUCCCGGCGAAGGCU
rnacentral:tRNA from 1 species